GAAAGGAGAACGACGGCAACAAAGAGAGGCAGAUGGGAGAAAGAAAGAAAACAUGCACAAAUACAGCAAGAGGAUACGAGAGCGAUGAAGAGACCAGUCACAAAAAGACGGCUGUGUCUCAGGAAGCAGAGCAGUGGUUUCAUCCCUGGCGCCUCCAGUCUGCACGUCGAAGCAUCCAUGGGCAAGACAUUGAACCCAAAAUUGCUCCCAACGGCUGUGUGCGUCCAAUCACAGUGGAGGAGGGUCUGGACAAAUGGCCUACCACAAAGACCAACCAUCACAUCGUUGAACACCAACUACAGUGGAGGGGAAAAUAAUACUGAGCCCACACAGACUGGCGGGUCUGUCCUCUUGCCCUACAUGCUUCAACCUUCCCUUCAUCAA